UUUGUUGAGGAACUCCAAGCCCCUCUACGUGCCCCUCUUUUAGGGAUCGCUUGGUCCCCUGGCUUCUAUGCACAGGAAGGGAAACCAAGGACCUCAUAACCUGGACUGGCACCAGGAUUAUGGGGUUGUCCUGCGCACUCUGGAGAGCAGGGAUCAUUAUCCCCACUUCACAGAUGGGGAAACAGAAGCCUGGAGAAACAUGAGGAUUCAGCACAGAAGCAGAAACACAAAGACAGAAGCUUGGAAAGGAGUGAACAGAGAUACAGAAGCAGAG